CAACAACAGAGACUCUUCAUUACACAACACCAACAGAGAUUCUUCCUUACAAGAACAAUACACUUAAAGCAACAACACAAUUAAAAGAGAACAAGAACAAGCCACUUAAACGGAAACCACAACAAGAACAAGCGACACUAAUUAGCCAACAUUUUAACUUAAAUGAAAACAGAACACUUGUUUUUAACAAGAACAAGAACAAGCCUCACUAAUUAGCCAACAAGGUUCAAUCUCAUCAUCUAUCACCACGUAAUUAGCCAACAAGGAUCGAACUCCAUCUGCCUCCUCCCUAAAAAAAUUCAAAUCAAGGUUCAAUCUCAUCAUCUAAUCACCACCUAAUCAAUCGUAUUAAGUGUGAAUAUCAAAAGGAUCUCACCGAUCAGAAGAUAGAGGAGAUGGGGUGGCAUCAUCUAAUCACCACCUAAUCAAUCACUUUCCUUCGCGACGGAGAAGACCAGUGAAGGAGACGCCUUUUAGCGGCGGAGCAGACGAGACAAGGGAAAGUCAGAGAAGACGUCGAUUGCACGGAGGAGACGUCAAUUGCACAGAGGAGACGCCGAUUAAACGGAAGAGACGUCGAUUGAACGGUGGAGACGCCGAUUGAACGGUGGAGAGGCCUCUUUCAUGAACGCAGUCG
rnacentral:lncRNA from 1 species